rnacentral:RNase_P_RNA from 1 species
UGAGUCGGCCGGGUGGUCGCGGCUCGGGUCCGUCCGGACGGAGACCGGGUCGAGGAAGGUCGGGGCUCCGUAGGGCAGGGUGCUGGCUAGGCGCCAGUCGGGGUGACCCGCAGGAAAGUGCCACAGAGAACAGACCGCCGAUGGCGGGCCUCGGCCCGCACAGGCAAGGGUGAAACGGUGCGGUAAGAGCGCACCAGCGGCCGGGGUGACCCGGUCGGCUCGGUAAACCCCACCCGGAGCAAGGCCAAACGAGGGACAUGGUGGCCCGCCGGGCGUCUCCCGAGACGCCGUCCCCAGGUAGGCCGCUCAGAUGGAUGACCACCACGCCAGCUCGCCCCGAGCGAGAUGGCGGACAGAACCCCGCCUACAGGCCGGCUCACCGU